GAACGACGGCGCACAAACAACCUGGAGGGGGAGAAAAAUGGUGACCCUGCACCCAGAACCCGCUACAGGCUACGCCACCCGUUUGGGGGCAACUUUGCCGGGGACGAUGGUCCUGGCGAGGAAACUGAAACCCAAAGAGGAGAGGUGACUCACCUAAAUACCACACAACUACUAAGCAGCUGAAAAAGGAUUGCAAUUCAGAUGCGUUUGACUUGGAAGCAGAGCCCGUGCUCUGCAACAAGAGCAGCCGCCGCCAUGAGACGCCCGCGCACCACAGCAACGAAGAGUAGCC